AUCGUUUCUUGACCUCUUGGCUCAGAUCAAGUGUA
rnacentral:snRNA from 1 species